CACUCAGCAAGUUCCCAAGAGGACUCUCAUACUCCUUGUCAGCACGCACCUUACCCACAAAGUGUGCAUCAUCAUGUACAGGUAAAGGAUUCUGUGCGAUAUUCUGGGUGUCACUGUCCUGAACCACAAUUCUCCCUUCUUAUAUCAUUAUUUCUAUCUCCCUUUUCAAAGAACGACAAUCAUCAAUGCUAUUCCCUUGGAUAUUAUAGUGGUACAUGCACCCCACAGUAGGAUCAAAACCUUUUGCAUAUGGGUCUGGGGUAUAGCCGAGGAUCGGCUCAAUCAGACCAGAUUGUUUCAACUUUUCAAACAAACUUGUGUAGGAUUCUCCGAUUGGUGUGAAACAAUUUCUUUGCCUUUUUCCCCUUCUAUGCCCCUGUUUCCUAGGAUUUUUGGGUGCUUGAAAAUGUUGUGAAGGCAAAAGAGUAUUAUGCGGUGCUGGUGCUCGCCAUAAAGAGUGACCCAUUGGUUGAACAAAUGAUUGGGCGUUGUUCAGAGGAUAAUGUUGAGAUGGAUUAUGUGGAGCUCGAGGAUAGGUUUUGAGUUGGGGUCGGGGUCGAGGCUGAG
rnacentral:lncRNA from 1 species